rnacentral:lncRNA from 13 species
UGAGUCUGUGAGAGUGAGUUAAAACUAUUUACAGGAGUUCCCAGGGAGGCCGGCCAAGAGCAGGGAUUUUGUCAUGCAGUAUCACUGGGAAGCAAAGCUCUGGGAGAAGCUAAAACUUGUUCAUUUGGGUGCGUGGGGCUGGAGCUGUCAGAGGUGAGUCUGAUGGAGGUGAGCACAGGAGAUCAGCCAGUGUUGGUCAGGAAACACCUUCCUUGUGCCUCGGGUAGGCUGCACUCAUGGCCACAAGGUCAUGUUACCCAGGAGAAGAUUUUUGCUUCAGAGUACCUGUGGGUGGAAUCGUGUGGCUUAGAAUUUGCUGCUGUAAUCUUCUCCUCACCCCUUCCUGUGAGCAUCAAGAGAGCAACUGUAGCACAAAUCCAGGGGAGAAGAGGUCUGGAUCUUUGGAAGAAAAAAAUGCUCUCCAUCUUCAUAGCAAAAAGGAUCAAUGCUGAAAUACAUAAGAAGAGAGGCUGUCCUGGAAAAGUGAGAAAGAGUGUGCAGAAAGAAACUAUGCCCAGAUGAAUCCACUGUGCCCUGUUUGGCAUAAAACAUAGGAGAAGCACAAAGGAGAUAUCAAUAUUUUGCUUCUGCUUUUUUUAAAGGAAAUAAAAUCCUAAUGAAAUAGAAC